rnacentral:rRNA from 1 species
AUUAGAGUUUGAUCAUGGCUCAGGACGAACGCUGGCGGCGCGCCUAACACAUGCAAGUCGAACGGAGUUAUUCGGACAGAAGUUCUUCGGAAUGGACGACUGAAUAACUUAGUGGCGGACGGGUGAGUAACGCGUGAGCAAUCUGCCUUUCAGAGGGGGAUAACGGUUGGAAACGACCGCUAAUACCGCAUAAUAUCGCACCGAGGCAUCCCGGAGCGAUCAAAGGAGCAAUCCGCUGAGAGAUGAGCUCGCGUCCAAUUAGCUAGUUGGUGAGGUAAAGGCCCACCAAGGCGACGAUUGGUAGCCGGACUGAGAGGUUGAACGGCCACAUUGGGACUGAGACACGGCCCAGACUCCUACGGGAGGCAGCAGUGGGGAAUAUUGGGCAAUGGGGGAAACCCUGACCCAGCGACGCCGCGUGAGGGAAGAAGGUUUUCGGAUUGUAAACCUCUGUCCUCUGUGACGAUAAUGACGGUAGCAGAGGAGGAAGCCACGGCUAACUACGUGCCAGCAGCCGCGGUAAUACGUAGGUGGCAAGCGUUGUCCGGAAUUACUGGGUGUAAAGGGAGCGUAGGCGGGUCGGCAAGUUGGAUGUGAAAUACCGCAGCUCAACUGCGGGGCUGCAUCCAAAACUGUCGAUCUUGAGUGAAGUAGAGGCAGGCGGAAUUCCUAGUGUAGCGGUGAAAUGCGUAAAUAUUAGGAGGAACACCAGUGGCGAAGGCGGCCUGCUGGGCUUUAACUGACGCUGAGGCUCGAAAGCGUGGGUAGCAAACAGGAUUAGAUACCCUGGUAGUCCACGCUGUAAACGAUGAUUACUAGGUGUGGGGGGACUGACCCCUUCCGUGCCGCAGUUAACACAAUAAGUAAUCCACCUGGGGAGUACGAUCGCAAGAUUGAAACUCAAAGGAAUUGACGGGGGCCCGCACAAGCGGAGGAACAUGUGGUUUAAUUCGAUGAUACGCGAGGAACCUUACCCGGGCUCAAACGACAUAGGAAUAUAUGUGAAAGCAUAUAGCUCUUCGGAGCCGAUGUCGAGGUGCUGCAUGGUUGUCGUCAGCUCGUGCCGUGAGGUGUCGGCUUAAGUGCCAUAACGAGCGCAACCCCCAUCGAUAGUUGCUAACAGGUAAAGCUGAGGACUCUGUCGAGACUGCCGGCGCAAGCUGUGAGGAAGGCGGGGAUGACGUCAAAUCAGCACGGCCCUUACGUCCGGGGCGACACACGUGUUACAAUGGCAGGCACAGCGGGAAGCCAUAUGGCGACAUAGAGCGGAACCCGAAAGCCUGUCUCAGUUCGGAUUGGAGUCUGCAACUCGACUCCAUGAAGCUGGAUUCGCUAGUAAUCGCGCAUCAGCCAUGGCGCGGUGAAUACGUUCCCGGGCCUUGUACACACCGCCCGUCAAGCCAUGGAAGCCGGGAGUGCCUGAAGUGCGUGACCGCAAGGAGCGUCCUAAGGUAAAACUGGUGACUGGGAAUGAGUCGUAACAAGGUAACCAAU